UUUUUUUUUUUUUUUUUUUGUUUUUUUUUUUGUUUUCAUUGGUUUCAACUUUCAACUACUAUGGAAUGAAACAUUGAUUCGUUAUCAUUUUAGGGUUUUAACGGUCUUAUUAUGUAGGAAGAAAAUAAAUUAAAUUACACAAAUUUUCAUUGCAAUUACUAAGAAAUUUUUCGUUGAAAACAGUUAUUAUACUUUUUUUCAUACAAUUGAAGUGUUACUUUCAAAAAUCAAGUUUCAUUCUAUAUAAUUUCUAUUAUUCUUACAAUUUUCAUAUUUUCUCGUUUCUUCAUUACGAGUUUUAAAGUAGUUUUCAAUAAGAGAUAACUACGACCGCAAGCAUGUUUGAUGUUUUGGUUUGGAGAAUUUUAUAAGACAAAGAAAUGAAAAUCAAAUCACGUGUGAGCUGAUAAACCUUGAUGUUUUUUAACAGUCUUUGAUUAUCUUUUCGGGUAGAGCGGUGAGAAGAAACAAAAGUUUAAGUUAAAGUAAAAUAAGAGUGAAGUGUUUUUUCGAAUUAAACUAAAAAGACUCACUCUUUAUGAUUUUUAUUUUCUUUCAUGCAUGCAAAUGCCAGACAAAAGUGGUCCAAGUGCACUUUUGAUGUUUUGCUUCUCUUUGUGUGUUCUGAGAUUUUAACUUGUAAGUUGAUGCCUCUUUCUAUAUAACUCUUUUUUUUUUUUUUUGUAUAGUUGAAUAUAUAAUUCGUGUUUUAUGCACGCCUAUGUCAACUUAAACAAAACAUUUUGCUCGAGUCACAUGGCCUGAUGGUUCAAAUCCGAUGUUUAGAUGUUUUUUUUUUUUUUGGGUAGGAUUUAUAAUGUAAAUGUCCCCGCUCGGCCAAGAAGGCACACCCCCGCCCGGCCAUAGAUCCAACUUCGAGAAUUUAGUGAUAUUCGCAAUGCAGCUUACUAUUUACGUCGCCAUUUUAUUCUAGUUAUAGUUUAUGUUUCUAUGUUUUUUUUUGUCAUGUGACAAUUUGUGUAACUGUAAUAUGUUACAAUUUGUCAUCAAUUGUUUACAUUCUUAACAAAAAAAAUUAGAUAACUUGCAUCAAAUUACAUAUCCCAUCCAAAACUGAAAUUAGCCGUGUUAAUCAUAUUUUUGUGUGUUUUGUCUACCAUCAUUUGAUUUUUGGUAAUUUGUUAGUCAUUUUCUUUGAUGUUUCGUCUAGCAAUUGGGAUAUGUUAGUCAUUUUUUUGUGUGUGGGAGAUGGAUAUGGAUGUUGAUCGUCAGGGUCCAAGUUAGCAUAAUUAUAGUGUGUUUGGACUAGUGACGUUUGAUUUGGACAGGGGUGUUGUUAGGUUUGUUAAUUAUUUAUGUGUGUUUCGUCUAGCAAUCAUUUGUUGUUUUAACGAUUAGGGAUCAAGUUAGUAAUUUUAGUGUUUCGACUAUCGAUCGUUUGGUUAGGGCGAUUAGAUUUGUUAGUCGUUUGUGUGUCCGUCAUUCCUCUACCACACACGCCCAUCUGCACAGUCUACACAUACACACAUUCACCCUAUACAUACAUCUAUUAUGUUGCAUACACACGUCCCCACUAUUUCUCAUUCACAUCCUAUACACAUCUAUACAUUUCCAUGUCACCAAAGAAAAAAGACAUGUUACGAUCGUUUUAUAUACAGUCUGGCUAACUUCAAAGGCUGUCCAAGCAGAAGAUGGAAAGCUCUGGACACAACCCUAGGCUUCGUUUUCCUUCACUACCACUCUGCAAAAUUAGUCAAGAUCAAUUUUCAUUACAAUCCUUUCUUCCGAUUGUCUACAUUUGUUGCAGAUGUAUUAAUUACGUUUACUUUAAAAAUCCAAAAAUCUUUUUAGACAAAACCUUUAUUCCUUUGCUUUCACAAAAACUAAAAACCCAUUCUAUGUUUCCUAGACAAAACUCAGAACACCAUAGAUCUCACAUCAUUGAAGUCAAGACAACAUGAUAUAUAAUUAAAGUCUUAAAGACACAUACAAAUAACUAAAAUCAGUUUACUAAACAACAAAACAGAGUCAUGACAGCUAAACAGAGCAUCUGAAUGUUUUUUUUUGGUAAACAUGUGAAGAAGAGCAUCUGAAUGUUUGUUGAACUCCACAAAAACAUAUUUGAAAGAUGAGAAAUAGUGUAGUUAAUAGGGGAAUCUUAGAAUGGUAAACAAACUACAGGAAUUCAUUAUUAGGGCAGAGUAUUUUGCCUUGUAUAUAUGCCUUCAUAUUCGUUUCUCUCUCGGCUAAUGAGAAUUAUAGAUAAGUUCGAGUGGAGAACUCAAGAACAGAACUAAAAGAAUCAAAACAGUGUGUAUUCGACAUAUGUGAAAUUAUAAGAGAAUUAAGAUUUGUGACCGAAGAAAGGAGGUACUUAUAGAGUCAUAAUCAGCGAUUUUUACGAUAAAAUAUUACAUCAGACGGUCGGAAAAAUGUUACCGUUUCACAACGUUAUUGUUCAGUCUUGAUGAUUUAAGUUGUCUAAUUUCCUCUUCUUUUUCUGUUACUUCUCCGGUCCUUCUUUCAGCUAUUUCUCUGAUCUAUUCGAGUUUCAAUUAUACUACUAGAAAGCAAAUUCUUAAAAACAACUGAACUAAAUAUAUCAAACCGUAAAAUUGACCACUCAUACGUGAAAUCAUGUUUUCGUCUACAAAGCUACACGCAUCGUUUCAUCACUCAGGAAGGAACUCACAAUCCAAAGCUUGGGACACUGUUACUCGUUUGAGAUAUAAAAUUUUGAAAAAGAAGAAGCAAAGAUAAGGAUAAAUUACCAAACAAAAACAGAGUUGGUACAGAGCAGCAGAUAACACCAAAGCUGUGCACAUAAUCUGUCAUAAAAAAACAAACUUUUCUUUUCGACAAGUUUUACAGCAAAGGGAGUUGGACUCACUCAGGUUUCCGGUUAUGGUUGCAGAAACAUUACAUAACCGUCUUUCUUCCAUUAGACCUUCAGGCCUCAUCCAUCUGCUCCUGAAUAAAGCAGUGGAUCGUUGAGUUUUGGGGUGUUAUUAUCCAAAUAGUCUUAUAAGAGUAUCAAUAUGCGAGUUUCUAGUGAUGCGAUUGAAUAUGAAAAGUAUAGAAUUGGACAAACCUGCAUAUCGGAGGUCCAAAGGGUUAGAUUGUCCCUCAGCAACUGCAUGAUGAGAGUACUGUCCUUGUAUGACUCCUCUCCCAAUGUGUCCAGCUCAGCAAUGGCUUCUUCAAAAGCCUAUACAGGUGAUGAAUCCAACAAGAACAAGUUAGAAAUGCAAUGAUCAUAUAUCUCUUUAGUCUCAUUAAAUCUUUGUAUAUGUGAUGCAUGAGAUGUUCCGGAUUCAGCAUGCACCAAAAUCCCAAUGAUUCUACUCAAUCUCGUAUGCAUAAUGUAUGAGAUCUUGUGGUUGGUUCUAAAGUCCCGUCAUUUUAAGAGAUUCUACUGACAAAAGGAAUGAUUUGUUUAAUGUGAAGAAGGUUAGGUCAAAAAAGUUGAAUAAAAAGAGGACUUUACACUUUGCAGAAUGUCUUUUUCUUUAGAAUCUCUGUUCAUUAAAAAGAAGUGGGUCCGUUCAGAAAAAAAGAAAGAGUUACUUUUUGUAAACAACUUCUCUAUUUCUGGUUAAGGUUUCAAAAUCAAUCCAACACAAAAGAUGGGGACAAUAGGAAUAGUAAAAACAAGUGGCCAGUUAGUCACUCAAAACAUCAAGCAAAAAAACUCUUCCUAACCAAAACUUAAGACAAUGAUCAGACAGAGAAACUCUAGUUGAAAAAAACAUGCAGUAUAUAGGAUGAAGAAAGAGUACCUGUUUGGCCAUGCUACAAGCUUUCUCUGAAGAGUUGAGAAUCUCGUAGUAAAACACUGAGAAAUUGAGAGCCAGACCCAGCCUGAUCGGAUGUGUUGGUGCUAGAUCAGCAACCGCAACGUCCUUCAAAACAAAAACCCAUGAAUGAGCAAAAGUACAUAUUUUCAGAUAUAGCUGAGUUCUUUAAAAGAAAGACAGAUUACGGAAGCAAUUGAUAGCUCUUUACUUCUCACGAUGAUCUGAAUCAAUACAAUAGCUUAAUUCCAAAACCAAUUCAAGGAUUAAUGAAGUCAAACAUAUACCUGAGCAGCUUUGUAAGCGAUCAUAGUAUCUUCCGCAGCUGUUUUCCUCUCAUCACCAGAUUUAAACUCAGCCAAAUAACGAUGAUAAUCUCCUUUCAUCUUCAAGUAAAAAACCUUAGACUCACUAGCAGUAGCUGAAGGAAUCAGAUGCGAAUCAAGCAACCUGAGAAUUCCAGA
rnacentral:lncRNA from 1 species